rnacentral:rRNA from 1 species
UACGUAGGGGGCAAGCGUUGUCCGGAAUCAUUGGGCGUAAAGAGCGUGUAGGCGGCCCGGUAAGUCCGCUGUAAAAGUCAAAGGCUUAACCUUUGAAUGUCAGUGGAUACUGCCGGGCUAGAGUCCGGAAGAGGCGAGUGGAACUCCUGGUGUAGCGGUGGAAUGCGCAGAUAUCAGGAAGAACACCAACGGCGAAGGCAGCUCGCUAGGACGGUACUGACGCUGAGACGCGAAAGCGUGGGUAGCAAACAGG